AUUGAACGCUAGCGGGAUGCUUUACACAUGCAAGUCGAACGGCAGCGCGGACUUCGGUCUGGCGGCGAGUGGCGAACGGGUGAGUAAUGUAUCGGAACGUGCCCAGUAGCGGGGGAUAACUACGCGAAAGCGUAGCUAAUACCGCAUACGCCCUACGGGGGAAAGCAGGGGAUCGUAAGACCUUGCACUAUUGGAGCGGCCGAUAUCGGAUUAGCUAGUUGGUGAGGUAACGGCUCACCAAGGCGACGAUCCGUAGCUGGUUUGAGAGGACGACCAGCCUCACUGGGACUGAGACACGGCCCAGACUCCUACGGGAGGCAGCAGUGGGGAAUUUUGGACAAUGGGGGCAACCCUGAUCCAGCCAUCCCGCGUGUGCGAUGAAGGCCUUCGGGUUGUAAAGCACUUUUGGCAGGAAAGAAACGUCGCGGGCUAAUACCCCGUGGAACUGACGGUACCUGCAGAAUAAGCACCGGCUAACUACGUG
rnacentral:rRNA from 1 species